rnacentral:rRNA from 1 species
GGGGGUACAUGGGGCGAAAGCCUGACGCAGCAACGCCGCGUGAGGGACGAAGGCUUUCUGAGUUGUAAACCUCUUUCGACAGGUACGAUUGUGACGGUACCUGUAGAAGAAGCACCGGCCAACUAUGUGCCAGCAGCCGCGGUGAUACAUAGGGUGCAAGCGUUAUUCGGAUUUAUUGGGCGUAAAGAGCUCGUAGGCGGUUCAACAAGUCGGGUGUUAAACCCCCAGGCUCAACCUGGGGCCGCCACCCGAAACUGUUGUGACUAGAGUUUGGUAGGGGAUCACGGAAUUCCUGGUGUAGCGGUGGAAUGCGCAGAUAUCAGGAGGAACACCAGUAGCGAAGGCGGUGAUCUGGGCCAAUACUGACGCUGAGGAGCGAAAGCGUGGGGAGCGAACAGGAUUAGAUACCCUGGUAGUCCACGCCGUAAACGGUGGGCACUAGGUGUGGGGACUUUUCAACGGUUUCCGCGCCGCAGCUAACGCAUUAAGUGCCCCGCCUGGGGAGUACGGUCGCAAGAC